AAUGAACGCUGGCGGCAUGCCUUACACAUGCAAGUCGAACGGCAGCAUGACCUAGCUUGCUAGGUUGAUGGCGAGUGGCGAACGGGUGAGUAAUGCAUCGGAACGUGCCUUUUAGUGGGGGAUAACGUAGCGAAAGUUACGCUAAUACCGCAUAUUCUCUGAGGAGGAAAGCAGGGGACCUUCGGGCCUUGCGCUAGAAGAGCGGCCGAUGUCGGAUUAGCUAGUUGGUGAGGUAAAGGCUCACCAAGGCAACGAUCCGUAGCGGGUUUGAGAGGAUGAUCCGCCACACUGGGACUGAGACACGGCCCAGACUCCUACGGGAGGCAGCAGUGGGGAAUUUUGGACAAUGGGCGCAAGCCUGAUCCAGCCAUGCCGCGUGAGUGAAGAAGGCCUUCGGGUUGUAAAGCUCUUUCGGCUGGGAAGAAAUCGCACCCUCUAAUACAGGGUGUGGAUGACGGUACCAGCAUAAGAAGCACCGGCUAACUACGUG
rnacentral:rRNA from 1 species